AGAGUGCAGCCUAAAUUUGGUGGUAAACUCCAUCUAAAGCUAAAUAUUGAUCAGUGACCGAUAGCAAACAAGUACCGUGAGGGAAAGAUGAAAAGAACCUUGAAAAGGGGGUUAAAAGUACGUGAAAUUGUUAUUAGGAAAGCACUUAAUCUCAUUGUGGAUUAAAUCAGUCUGUUUCGGCAGAUACUGUUUUAAUUAGUUAUGAUCAGUUANNGUUGAUAAAGAAAAUUUGUGACAAGGUAUUAGUGUAGUGCUAAACUUACNGGUCACUUAUUAUUUGUCGAUAUUGACUGAGGAAUGCUACUUAAUCUUUUNNNGUUAAUAGUUUAUGGAGUUAAGNUAAACAACAUGUUGAUUAG
rnacentral:rRNA from 1 species